rnacentral:rRNA from 1 species
GCAGGCCUACACAUGCAGUCGAGGGGUAGAGUUUCUUCGGAGACUUGAGACCGGCGCACGGGUGCGUAACGCGUAUGCAAUCUGCCCUUUACUGGGGAAUAGCCCGGAGAAAUUCGGAUUAAUGCCCCAUAUGCCCGUAGAAUCGCCUGAUUCAGCGGGGAAAGUUCCGACGGUAAAGGAUGAGCAUGCGUCCCAUUAGCUAGUUGGUGAGGUAACGGCUCACCAAGGCGACGAUGGGUAGGGGGCCUGAGAGGGUGAUCCCCCACACUGGUACUGAGACACGGACCAGACUCCUACGGGAGGCAGCAGUGAGGAAUAUUGGGCAAUGGAGGCAACUCUGACCCAGCCAUGCCGCGUGCAGGAAGACGGCCCUCUGGGUUGUAAACUGCUUUUGUUUGGGAAUAAACCCUUCUACGUGUAGAAGGCUGAAGGUACCAUACGAAUAAGGAUCGGCUAACUCCGUGCCAGCAGCCGCGGUAAUACGGAGGAUCCAAGCGUUAUCCGGAUUUAUUGGGUUUAAAGGGUCCGUAGGCGGGUCUUUAAGUCAGUGGUGAAAGCCCACAGCUCAACUGUGGAACUGCCAUUGAUACUGGAGAUCUUGAGUGUAGUAGAAGUAGGCGGAAUAGGGCAUGUAGCGGUGAAAUGCAUAGACAUGCCCUAGAACACCGAUUGCGAAGGCAGCUUACUAUGUUA